GUUGAAACACUGGUCCCCGUACAAUCACUGAAGUUAAGCAACGUCAAGCCUGAUCAGUACCUAGAUGGGUGACCGCUUGGAAAUACUAGGUACUGUAAG